CGACUCUCGGCAACGGAUAUCUCGGCUCACGCAUCGAUGAAGAACGUAGCAAAAUGCGAUACUUGGUGUGAAUUGCAGAAUCCCGUGAACCAUCGAGUUUUUGAACGCAAGUUGCGCCCGAAGCCUUUUGCCGAGGGCACGUCUGCCUGGGCGUCACGC
rnacentral:rRNA from 1 species